GAUGAACGCUGGCGGCGUGCCUAAUACAUGCAAGUCGAGCGAACGGACGAGAAGCUUGCUUCUCUGAUGUUAGCGGCGGACGGGUGAGUAACACGUGGAUAACCUACCUAUAAGACUGGGAUAACUUCGGGAAACCGGAGCUAAUACCGGAUAAUAUUUUGAACCGCAUGGUUCAAAAGUGAAAGACGGUCUUGCUGUCACUUAUAGAUGGAUCCGCGCUGCAUUAGCUAGUUGGUAAGGUAACGGCUUACCAAGGCAACGAUGCAUAGCCGACCUGAGAGGGUGACCGGCCACACUGGAACGGAGACACGGUCAAGACUCCUACGGGAGGCAGCCGUAGGGCAUUUUCCGCAAUGGUCGAAAGCCUGACGGAGCAACGCCGCGUGAGUCAUGAAGGUCUUCGGAUCGUACAACUCUGUUAUUCGGGCAGAAAAUAUGUGUAAUAAACUGUGCACAUCUUGACGGUCCCUAAUCAGAAGGCCACGGCUAACUACGUG
rnacentral:rRNA from 1 species